rnacentral:rRNA from 1 species
CACGUAGUUAGCCGUGGCUUCCUCCUUGGGUACCGUCAUUAUCGUCCUCAAAGACAGAGCUUUACAACCCGAAGGCCUUCAUCACUCACGCGGCGUUGCUGCAUCAGGGUUUCCCCCAUUGUGCAAUAUUCCCCACUGCUGCCUCCCGUAGGAGUCUGGGCCGUGUCUCAGUCCCAAUGUGGCCGAUCACCCUCUCAGGUCGGCUACGCAUCGUCGCCUUGGUGAGCCGUUACCUCACCAACUAGCUAAUGCGCCGCGGGUCCAUCUUAUAGCGGAUUGCUCCUUUGGUUAUCGAUCCAUGCGAAUCAACAACUUUAUGCGGUAUUAAUCUUCCUUUCGGAAGGCUAUCCCCCUCUAUAAGGCAGGUUACCCACGUGUUACUCACCCGUCCGCCGCUAAUCCGUUCCCGAAGGAACUUCAUCGCUCGACUUGCAUGUGUUAGGCACGCCGCCAGCGUUGUCCUCGUAGCCACGGAUCAAACUAC